rnacentral:rRNA from 1 species
UACGUAGGGUGCGAGCGUUAAUCGGAAUUACUGGGCGUAAAGCGUGCGCAGGCGGUUUUGUAAGCCAGAUGUGAAAUCCCCGGGCUUAACCUGGGAAUGGCAUUUGGGACUGCAAGGCUCGAGUGCGGCAGAGGAGACUGGAAUUCCUGGUGUAGCAGUGAAAUGCGCAGAUAUCGGGAGGAACACCAAUGGCGAAGGCAGCUUGCUGGGACGGUACUGACGCUGAUGUGCGAAAGCCAGGGGAGCGAACGGG